GACGAACGCUGGCGGCGUGCUUAACACAUGCAAGUCGAACGAACAGACGAGGAACUUUGUUUCCUGACGUUAGCGGCGGACGGGUGAGUAACACGUGGAUUACCCAUCUAUUAGACUGGGAUAAAUUCGGGAGACCGGAGUUAAUACAGGACAAUAUAUUUAAUCGCAUGGUUCAAUAGUGAAAGAAGGUUUUGCUGAUAUAUAUACAUGGAUCCGCGCCGCAUUGGCUAGUUGGUAAGGUAACGGCUUACCAAGGCGACCAUGGGUAGCCGACCUGGGAGGGUGAUGGCCCACACUGGAACUGGGCCCCGGUCCGGACUCCUAGGGGAGGCACAGGGGGGGAAUCUUCGGAAAUGGGCGAAAGCCUGACGAAGCAACGCCGGGUGGGUGAUGAGGCUCUUCGGAUCGUAAGACCCUGUUAUUGGGGAAAAAGACAUGCGUGAGAAACGAUGCACGUCUUGACGGUACCUAAACAGAAAGCCACGGCUAACUACGUG
rnacentral:rRNA from 1 species